AGGAAAAAUGGGAAUUCCAGGGCUUACCUUGGUAUGCCAUUUUAACUUCCGAGUUGAAUAUGUCAGAGGGGGGUGAGAUUUAACGUGUACAGGAAAUGAGUAGAUUGUGAGGAAUACCGAUGGCGAAGGCACUCCCCAGGGAUGAUACUGACGGUCAGACACGAAAGCGUGGGAGCAAACAGGAUUAGAUACCCUGGUAGUCCACGCCCUAAACGAUGUCAACUAGCUGUUGGGGCCGUUAGGCCUUAGUAGCGCAGCUAACGCGUGAAGUUGACCGCCUGGGGAGUACGGUCGCAAGAUUAAAACUCAAAGGAAUUGACGGGGACCCGCACAAGCGGUGGAUGAUGUGGAUUAAUUCGAUGCAACGCGAAAAACCUUACCUACCCUUGACAUGUCUGGAAUCCCGAAGAGAUUUGGGAGUGCUCGCAAGAGAACCGGAACACAGGUGCUGCAUGGCUGUCGUCAGCUCGUGUCGUGAGAUGUUGGGUUAAGUCCCGCAACGAGCGCAACCCUUGUCAUUAGUUGCUACGCAAGAGCACUCUAAUGAGACUGCCGGUGACAAACCGGAGGAAGGUGGGGAUGACGUCAAGUCCUCAUGGCCCUUAUGGGUAGGGCUUCACACGUCAUACAAUGGUCGGGACAGAGGGUCGCCAACCCGCGAGGGGGAGCCAAUCUCAGAAACCCGAUCGUAGUCCGGAUCGCAGUCUGCAACUCGACUGCGUGAAGUCGGAAUCGCUAGUAAUCGCGGAUCAGAAUGUCGCGGUGAAUACGUUCCCGGGUCUUGUACACACCGCCCGUCACGACCAUGGGAGUGGGUUUUCACCAGCAAGGUUAAG
rnacentral:rRNA from 1 species